GGAGAGAUGACCGAGUGGUUGAAGGUGCACGCCUGGAAAGCGUGUGUACUGUAACAGGUACCGAGGGUUCGAAUCCCUCUCUCUCCGCCA
rnacentral:tRNA from 1 species